rnacentral:misc_RNA from 1 species
GAUGAAGAACGUAGCGAAAUGCGAUAAGUAAUGUGAAUCGCAGAAUUCAGUGAAUCAUCGAAUCUUUGAACGCACAUUGCGCCCGCUAGUAUUCUGGCGGGCAUGCCUGUUCGAGCGUCAUUUCAACCAUCAAGCCCUGCUUGUGUUGGGGUCCUGCGGCUGCCCGCAGGCCCUGAAAACCAGUGGCGGGCUCGCUAGUCACACCGAGCGCAGUAGCACAUCUCGCUCAGGGCGUGCGGCGGGUUCUUGCCGUAAAACACCCCCUUUUUACCAAGGUUGACCUCGGAUCAGGUAGGAAUACCCGCUGAACUUAAGCAUAUCAAUAGCGGAGGA